rnacentral:lncRNA from 1 species
AGGAGCCUACCUUUACUUAGCCUCACAACAUGGGCCUUAGCUUUAGCACUUAAUCUGCACAAAUACCUGGCUUAAGUGUUAUGACUGACUGGCUAUUCAACCAAACCAUACAAAUGACCAAUUCGGUAAGAAAGCAUGAACUUCAGUGUUGAACCAAAUCAACCAACCUCCUCAAUCCAAAUGGAGAGGAUAACAAAGGAAGCUGAGGAAGUCUGUUCUGGAGGCACCAUGACAAAGCACCAGACAGAAAGCAGUCACGUGUGGGGAGAUGAGCAGAGACACCACUUCUCAAGCACCUGAUUAUUCUUUCUCAGUAUUUAGAAGCAAAAAUUAUCCUUAAGAAAAACAACCGCAAACGCAACACAGGCUACACAGAUGAGAAAAUGGGCUCAUGAAACACUGCACUAAACAGUCACAGGACCAAGAUAUAGAUUCCUAUUUCCAGGUGAACAUAAAGAUUUUUCAGUCAAUAGCAUACACUGAACAUUGCUUCUAUAUAAAGAGCAGUGUUUCUCAAAGUGUGGUCCUUGGAACAGCAGCAUCAGUAGCAUCGGCUUGCAGAGCUCAAACCAUUACACCAUUCAGAAGCUGGCUUUGGUAUUACUUCAAGUUAUUCAAAACAGUCACCACUUGCUGAGCCUCUGAUGUCUCAUCUGUUGAAUGGAUUUCAAGAGAGAAGGCUGAAAAGGAAGGUGACUGGAAUAUUAAGAACUGUGAGAUAUUCUGAGGAAACUCUAAUUUGUAAAUUGGUAGAAAUGCCAGUAAUUUGUUGGGAAUUGAAGACCCUCUGUAUUCAAGAGCGAAGCUUGGCAGCUGUGCACUGUUGUUUUAUAAAUCAAUAUUACAUCUGAA